UACGUAGGGGGCAAGCGUUGUCCGGAAUCAUUGGGCGUAAAGAGCGUGUAGGCGGCCCGGUAAGUCCGCUGUGAAAGUCCAGGGCUCAACCCUGGGAUGCCGGUGGAUACUGUCGGGCUCGAGUCCGGAAGAGGAGUGUGGAAUUCCUGGUGUAGCGGUGAAAUGCGCAGAUAUCAGGAGGAACACCAAUGGCGAAGGCAGCACUCUGGGACGUGACUGACGCUGAGGCGCGACAGCGUGGGGAGCAAACAGG
rnacentral:rRNA from 1 species